CAGUAAAUAGUUUAAUUUAAAAUAUAACAUUUGGGUUGUUAAGAUUUAAUUACUGA
rnacentral:tRNA from 1 species